GACGAAGGAUGCAAGCGUUAUCCGGAUUCAUUGGGUUUAAAGGGCGCGUAGGUGGACUUGUAAGUCAGUGGUGAAAUCUUUGGGCUUAACCCAGAAACUGCCAUUGAUACUGCAGGUCUAGAGUACAGUUGCCGUUGGCGGAAUAUGACAUGUAGUGGUGAAAUACUUAGAUAUGUCAUAGAACACCGAUUGCGAAGGCAGCUAACGAAGCUGUAACUGACACUGAGGCUCGAAAGUGCGGGGAUCAAACAGG
rnacentral:rRNA from 1 species